rnacentral:rRNA from 1 species
UUCCGGUUGAUCCUGCCGGAGGCCAUUGCUAUCGGUGUCCGAUUUAGCCAUGCGAGUCGUGCGGGUUCAGACCCGCGGCGAACUGCUCAGUAACACGUGGCCAAGCUACCCUCUGGAGACGGAUAACCUCGGGAAACUGAGGCUAACCCGUCAUACCGCUUCCGAGCUGGAGUGCUGGAAGCGGGAAACGCUCCGGCGCCGGAGGAUGUGGCUGCGGCCGAUUAGGUAGACGGUGGGGUAACGGCCCACCGUGCCGAUAAUCGGUACGGGUUGUGAGAGCAAGAACCCGGAGACGGACUCUGAGACAAGAGUCCGGGCCCUACGGGGCGCAGCAGGCGCGAAACCUUUACACUGCACGCCAGUGCGAUAGGGGGACACCGAGUGCGAGGGCAUAGAGCCCUCGCUUUUCUGUACCGUAAGGUGGUAGAGGAAUAAGGGCUGGGCAAGACCGGUGCCAGCCGCCGCGGUAACACCGGCAGCCCGAGUGAUGGCCGAUAUUAUUGGGCCUAAAGCGUCCGUAGCUGGCCGGGGAAGUCCGUCGGGAAAUCCACUCGCUCAACGAGUGGGCGUCCGGCGGAAACUCUCCGGCUUGGGACCGGAAGACNCGAAGGGUACGUCCGGGGUAGGAGUGAAAUCCUGUAAUCCUGGACGGACCACCGGUGGCGAAAGCACUUCGAGAAAACGGAUCCGACAGUGAGGGACGAAAGCCAGGGUCUCCAACCGGAUUAGAUACCCGGGUAGUCCUGGCCGUAAACAAUGUUCGCUAGGUAUGACACAGACUACGCGUCUCUGUUGUGCCGUAGGGAAGCCGAGAAGCGAACCGCCUGGGAAGUACGUCUGCAAGGAUGAAACUUAAAGGAAUUGGCGGGGGAGCACUACAACCGGAGGAGCCUGCGGUUUAAUUGGACUCAACGCCGGACAUCUCACCAGCUCCGACUACAGUGAUGACGACCAGGUUGAUGACCUCAUCACGACGCUGUAGAGAGGAGGUGCAUGGCCGCCGUCAGCUCGUACCGUGAGGCGUCCUGUUAAGUCAGGCAACGAGCGAGACCCGCACCCCUAAUUGCCAGCAACAGUUUCGACUGGUUGGGUACAUUAGGAGGACUGCCAGUGUUAAACUGGAGGAAGGAACGGGCAACGGUAGGUCAGUAUGCCCCGAAUGAGCUGGGCAACACGCGGGCUACAAUGGCUAAGACAAUGGGUCGCUAUCUCGACAGAGAACGCUAAUCUCGAAACUUAGUCGUAGUUCGGAUUGAGGGCUGAAACUCGCCCUCAUGAAGCUGGAUUCGGUAGUAGCCGCCUUUCAGUAGAAGGCGACGAAUACGUCCCUGCUCCUUGCACACACCGCCCGUCAAG